AGCGGAACGAUGGGAGCUUGCUCCCAGGCGUCGAGCGGCGGACGGGUGAGUAACACUUAGGAAUCUACCUAGUAGUGGGGGAUAGCUCGGGGAAACUCGAAUUAAUACCGCAUACGUCCUACGGGAGAAAGGGGGCAACUUGUUGCUCUCGCUAUUAGAUGAGCCUAAGUCGGAUUAGCUAGUUGGUGGGGUAAAGGCCUACCAAGGCGACGAUCUGUAGCUGGUCUGAGAGGAUGAUCAGCCACACCGGGACUGAGACACGGCCCGGACUCCUACGGGAGGCAGCAGUGGGGAAUAUUGGACAAUGGGGGAAACCCUGAUCCAGCCAUGCCGCGUGUGUGAAGAAGGCCUUUUGGUUGUAAAGCACUUUAAGCAGUGAAGAAGACCAUAUGGUUAAUACCCAUAUGCGAUGACAUUAGCUGCAGAAUAAGCACCGGCUAACUCUGUGCCAGCAGCCGCGGUAAUACAGAGGGUGCAAGCGUUAAUCGGAAUUACUGGGCGUAAAGCGAGCGUAGGUGGCUUGAUAAGUCAGAUGUGAAAUCCCCGGGCUUAACCUGGGAACUGCAUCUGAUACUGUCAGGCUAGAAUAGGUGAGAGGAAGGUAGAAUUCCAGGUGUAGCGGUGAAAUGCGUAGAGAUCUGGAGGAAUACCGAUGGCGA
rnacentral:rRNA from 1 species